GAUGAACGCUGGCGGCGUGCCUAAUACAUGCAAGUCGAACGCUGGAACUCUAGCUUGCUAGAUUGAAGGAGUGGCGAACGGGUGAGUAAUACAUAAGCAACCUACCCACGAAGACUGGGAUAAUCUCUGGAAACGGGGACUAAUACCGGAUAGGUAAUCGGAAGGCAUCUUCUGAUUAUUAAAGGUUAAAAACACUGGUGGAUGGGCUUAUGGCGCAUUAGUUAGUUGGUGAGGUAACGGCCCACCAAGACGAUGAUGCGUAGCCGGCCUGAGAGGGUGAACGGCCACAUUGGGACUGAGACACGGCCCAGACUCCUACGGGAGGCAGCAGUAGGGAAUUUUCGGCAAUGGGAGAAACCCUGACCGAGCAACGCCGCGUGAGUGAUGACGGCCUUCGGGUUGUAAAGCUCUGUUGUAAGGGAAGAACGGUAGAUAGAGAAUAUCUAAAUGACGGUACCUUACCAGAAAGCCACGGCUAACUACGUG
rnacentral:rRNA from 1 species